GCUCUAGCUUAGUGGUAGAACAUCUGCUUGGUAAGUAGAAAGUCCCAGGUUCAAGCCCCAGCAUCUCCA
rnacentral:tRNA from 1 species